UACGGGGGGGGCAAGCGUUGUUCGGAAUUACUGGGCGUAAAGGGCUCGUAGGCGGCCAACUAAGUCAGACGUGAAAUCCCCAGGCUCAACCUGGGAACUGCGUCUGAUACUGGAUGGCUUGAAUCCGGGAGAGGGAUGCAGAAUUCCAGGUGUAGCGGUGAAAUGCGUAGAUAUCUGGAGGAAUACCGGUGGCGAAGGCGACAUCCUGGACCGGUACUGACACUCAAGUGCGAAAGCGUGGGGAGCAAACAGG
rnacentral:rRNA from 1 species